rnacentral:rRNA from 1 species
UAUCUCUGUAGAGUCUGCAUAUCAAUAAGCGGAGGAAAAGAAACUAACUAGGAUUCCCUUAGUAACGGCGAGUGAAGCGGGAAGAGCUCAAAUUUGAAAUCUUCAAGGUUUUACCUUGACGAAUUGUAGUUUAAAGAAGUGUUUUCUGUUGAGUGUUUCGGUAAAAGUUCUUUGGAAUAGGACAUCAUAGAGGGUGAGAAUCCCGUAUUUGACCAUUACUUUCAGCUGUGUGAUACACUUUCAAAGAGUCGUAUUGUUUGGGAAUGCAGUCCAAAAUGGGUGGUAAAUUUCAUCUAAAGCUAAAUAUUGGCGAGAGACCGAUAGCGAACAAGUACCGUGAGGGAAAGAUGAAAAGAACUUUGAAAAGAGAGUUAAACAGUACGUGAAAUUGUCAAAAGGGAAGCGUUUGACACCAGUGUUGUUUUCUCGAAAAUCAAUUAAAAAAUGCUGAUUUUGUGUUGUAUUGACCUUUAAUCAGCUUUCUUCACUUUUUUCCUGUCUUAUUUUAAUGCACUUUUCGUUUAACAAGUCAACAUCAGUUUCUUUUGUUGUAAAAGGGUCAUUGGAAGGUGGCCUUCUUUUCGGAGAAAGUGUUUAUAGCCUUUGACUUCUGCAAUCGGAGAGAUUGAGGUCUGCAGCGUAGAUCCUUCUGGAUUAGAUUCAUUUGUGCUAAGUUAUAGCCUUUCAUAGACAACUUGUUGACUAUGAUCUGUCAUGUAGCUUACUCGCUUAUGUCAUUUUACCUACGCUUAGGAUGUUGAUCUCUCACAGUCGAGC